rnacentral:rRNA from 1 species
CAGCAGCCACGGUAAUACGAAGGGUGCAAGCGUUAAUCGGAAUUACUGGGCGUAAAGCGCGCGUAGGUGGUUUGGUAAGAUGGAUGUGAAAUCCCCGGGCUCAACCUGGGAACUGCAUCCAUAACUGCCUGACUAGAGUACGGUAGAGGGUGGUGGAAUUUCCUGUGUAGCGGUGAAAUGCGUAGAUAUAGGAAGGAACACCAGUGGCGAAGGCGACCACCUGGACUGAUACUGACACUGAGGUGCGAAAGCGUGGGGAGCAAACAGGAUUAGAUACCCCCGUAGUCCCUGUCUCUUAUAC